rnacentral:rRNA from 1 species
AGAGUUUGAUCCUGGCUCAGGAUGAACGCUAGCUACAGGCUUAACACAUGCAAGUCGAGGGGAAACGACAUCGAAAGCUUGCUUUUGAUGGGCGUCGACCGGCGCACGGGUGAGUAACGCGUAUCCAACCUGCCCAUCACUUGGGGAUAACCUUGCGAAAGUAAGACUAAUACCCAAUGAUAUCUCUAGAAGGCAUCUGAAAGAGAUUAAAGAUUUAUCGGUGAUGGGUGGGGAUGCGUCUGAUUAGCCCUUGUUGGCGGGGUAACGGCCGACCAAAGCAACGAUCAGUAGGGGUUCUGAGAGGAAGGUCCCCACAUUGGAACUGAGACACGGUCCAAACUCCUACGGAGGCA